rnacentral:rRNA from 1 species
GAUGAACGCUGACAGAAUGCUUAACACAUGCAAGUCUUUGGCGAAGCUGUGCUUGCACAGCCUAGCCAAGGCGGACGGGUGAGUAACGCGUAAGGAACUUGCCCUGCAGUCAGGGAUAACAGACGGAAACGACUGAUAAGACCUGGUAAAGUCAGGCGGACUCAUGUCCAGCCUGAUGAAAAGAGAUGCUGCAGGAGAGCCUUGCGUCCUAUUAGCUUGUUGGUGGGGUAACGGCCCACCAAGGCGAUGAUAGGUAGCCGGCCUGAGAGGGUGGACGGCCACAAGGGGACUGAGAUACGGCCCUUACUCCUACGGGAGGCAGCAGUGGGGAAUAUUGGACAAUGGGGGCGACCCUGAUCCAGCAAUUCUGUGUGCACGAUGAAGGUUUUCGGAUUGUAAAGUGCUUUCAGCAGGGAAGAAAAAAAUGACGGUACCUGCAGAAGAAGCGACGGCUAAAUACGUG